rnacentral:tRNA from 1 species
GGAAGCGUGUCCGAGUGGCUUAUGGUAGCUCUUUGCUAAAGAGCCGACCCCUUAAACGGGGUCCGCAGGUUCGAAUCCUGCCGCUUCCGCCA